GUGUCAGCAGCCGCGGUAAUACGGAGGGCGCAAGCGUUGUUCGGAAUCAUUGGGCGUAAAGCGCGUGCAGGCGGCUUGGUAAGUCGGGUGUGAAAUCCCGGGGCUCAACCCCGGAACUGCACCCGAUACUGCCUCGCUCGAGUCCCGGAGAGGAUGGCGGAAUUUCCGGUGUAGAGGUGAAAUUCGUAGAUAUCGGAAGGAACACCAGCGGCGAAGGCGGCCAUCUGGACGGUGACUGACGCUCAGACGCGAAAGCGUGGGGAGCAAACAGGAUUAGAUACCCUGGUAGUCCACGCUGUAAACGUUGGGUGCUAGGCGUCGUGGGUAUUGACCCCCGCGGUGCCGAAGCUAACGCAUUAAGCACCCCGCCUGGGGAGUACGGUCGCAAGACUAAA
rnacentral:rRNA from 1 species